GUCGCCCCGAAGCCAUUUGCUUAGCAGAACAGAAAGAAAAAAAAACAAACUGAAAGAAACUGGUCAGACGAUCGUUCUCAUGUGUGUGUAUGUGGGAACUCAUAAAGACACCGGAGUUGGAGACAUUUCUAUGCUUCUGUAACUUGUUUAUGGUGGAGCUACUAGGCUAACGUUAUUAGAUUUUAUGUGUAGAAACACAUUGCACGACCGGUCUAUUCUCGGUUUCUCGGUUACUGCUGUGGACUAGAAAUGGACUGGUGCUGUUUGGGGUACAAGAGUAAAAGACACUAAGUUGUAGAACUUGUUAUUUUCUUAAAAGGUUUCGUCACAAGUUGUCUUACGAGAAGGGAGGUCCAAGAACAUUUCGAAAACUACUGCUUCAUGUAAGUGAAAUCUAUAUACUAAGACUCAAACUGUUUACAGAACUAGCUAGAUUUCAACACAUUAAACAUAUUCAUUUCCUGAGGGCUCGAUUUAAAUGAAUCGUCAUAACUUCAAGCGGAUGCCGAAAUCAAUCAAACUAAUAACAAGUUCAAAUAUAUUUCAAUCCUAGACCGUUUCUUGGAAGGCGUGUAGAUUACCAUAACAUCUCAGCCAAAACCACCGCCGAAUCAUCAUCAUCAUCAUGAUCAUAAUCAUUACCGUACGGUGAAUAGCUGAAAGCACGCCUUGACCGUAGGUUUUAGAGGUGUAAAGAUCGAAAGAAAUAGAUCACUUUCAUUUUUUUCUCCAUCGCACCCAACUGCUUGUUACGCCACACUGUGCGUGAAGCGAUCGUUCGCCGUGGAGUAGAGGGUUUAAUCAUUGGGGCCCCCAUUCUUGGAAUGUCAGUCGGUCCUCCCCAAGAGCCUCCCCGGUCGAAAGCGUGCAGUCAUUAGCGAUCGUUAUUAAUCCAAUUUAAUUCGAUAAUCAGUCGGUGUUUUGCGUACGGGCAUAUUUUACCUGUAGAUGGAAAAGAGCAACCUUUUUUUUAUCCAACGAACCGAAACCGAGAGAGCGCUGGAGCACACGGCUGUUAUGACACAUGACAUUUAGCGAUUGACAUUUCAAAGUCCGUGAUGUGUUUCAUAUACUACAAAACCCGUAACCGGCGAGGCCUGUUCUUAGCAAAUAUUAUAGUUCUGCUUUAGUUCUGUACAGUAAAGAGCAAGAACGAGAGGCGCCGGUGAUCGGCUGAAGUUCUCAUUCACUCUUGUCGAGAGGCAAGGUACGGGGAGCUGUUAGUUCUAUCUAGUCUGGUGCAAAGUCUACUGAGGGCUCCACAGCUGCUGGUGCUGCUGCUGAUGAUGAUGGUGAUGGUGAUCUUGACGAGGAUCUCUUCGUUAAGCGCCAGUCGCGGAUGUGGCGAAGGAACUUCGAACGGAGCAGCAUCUUUUGUCCGGAUCGUAGGAUGAAUGGAAGACGAUGCCGCCGUAAGUCACAUUGGGUAAUUGUUUGCCAAACGAAAAGGUCAAGCUCAUAAUGAUGUUUCAUUUAAGUGUUGUUUGCUCAGGCGUCAAUGGAUUCGGGAGCUAAGCUGGUACAAAACUUGGUGUUAUAACUGAUUGGUAGGACUUUCUACCAGCAUGCAAAAAUGAAUAUUCGGUAACAUUUGUAGGGUAAACACAGACCCGGUGAGCUCGUCGUCACUCUUUUUCUAGGAAAUGAGGAGCCAUCCAACGCAGAUCUAGGGGCACCAAAGAUAAAUAAUAAAGACAUGUAUGUGCUUACAAAUAUUAAAAAAAAUGUGGUCCGUUCCCGGUAUCUUCUAAAAUGACCGCACUCACCGCUCGGUGGACCGCGAGAUUAAUUGCAUUGUUAUCAUUUCGACCAAAGUGUGCCAUGAAAUCUCAAUAUAUACACGCAGAGAAAAAAAUUAUAAAAAUAAUUAAAUUUGGGUCUCACCCAACGAAUAUUUUUGUUGAAAUAGUGACAAAAGAAAAUUUGGUUUGAUAUUGUAAAUAUUGCUAAUUGA